rnacentral:rRNA from 1 species
CCGUUACUACGCGGAGGGACAUUACCGAGUUUACAACUCCCAAACCCAAUGUGAACGUUACCAAACUGUUGCCUCGGCGGGGUCACGCCCCGGGUGCGUAAAAGCCCCGGAACCAGGCGCCCGCCGGAGGAACCAACCAAACUCUUUCUGUAGUCCCCUCGCGGACGUAUUUCUUACAGCUCUGAGCAAAAAUUCAAAAUGAAUCAAAACUUUCAACAACGGAUCUCUUGGUUCUGGCAUCGAUGAAGAACGCAGCGAAAUGCGAUAAGUAAUGUGAAUUGCAGAAUUCAGUGAAUCAUCGAAUCUUUGAACGCACAUUGCGCCCGCCAGUAUUCUGGCGGGCAUGCCUGUCCGAGCGUCAUUUCAACCCUCGAACCCCUCCGGGGGAUCGGCGUUGGGGAUCGGGACCCCUCACCGGGUGCCGGCCCUGAAAUACAGUGGCGGUCUCGCCGCAGCCUCUCCUGCGCAGUAGUUUGCACAACUCGCACCGGGAGCGCGGCGCGUCCACGUCCGUAAAACACCCAACUUCUGAAAUGUUGACCUCGGAUCAGGUAGGAAUACCCGCUGAACUUAAGCAUAUCAA